GGGACAGGUGAGGAGCUGAGAAAACGCGUCUGGUGUGCCUGAGAGAGAGAGAGAGAGAGAGAGAGGGAGAGGGAGGCAGAACAAGAGGGAUCUUCAGCACAAAGAAAGAGAGGAGCCGAGGAGAAAUGAGGAGAAACAAAGGAAGAGGAACGGUCGCUUGGUAAUCACACAAAUCAAAGAGGUCAAACUGUGAAUAAGAAUUGAGGUGCACCUGCCGAAGGUUGCUGUCUACCUCUAUCCAAACGUCCCACAGGUAACAUAUUACCUGUUAACAGGUAACACAUUAAACUCCUGUAGUCAGGUGAAUCGCUCCCACACACAGACAUGAGAAACUCUCUCAGGUAUGAAAGAUUUGCUCAGGUGCUGCAUUUCCCCACUUUCUGUUCAAAUAGGUGUAGUGGAAAUUUCAGUGUCAUCAAAGGCAAGCUAUGUGUUUUGAGGUGUGUACCUGGGUGAGAAAUUUGUGCUUCACUGUGACUCUGAAUUCAAAAUAGACUGUGUGUUUGGGCAUGUGUACAUACAGUCCCCAACGAAACUACUGGAAUGGCAAGGCCAAUUCAUUUGUUCUUUGCUGUAGAUUGAAAGUUUGAGAUCAAAAGAUGAAUAUGAGAAGAGAGUUUAGAAUUUCAGAUUUUAUUUCCUGGUAUUUAUAUAUAGACGUGUUAAACGACAUAGAACAUACCACAUUUUGUAUCAGACCACCCAAUUUUAGGUGAGAAAAAAUAUUGGAACAUGCGACUGACAGGUCUUUCUUGAUACCCAGGUGUGCCCUGUUAGAUUGAUUUGUUUAAACAAUAAAUAGCUCUGAACAUCUAAUCUUGGUUUUAGCCUUCAGUUUCACCUGUAAAGACUGCAGUUGUUGUUAAAAAGAUAAGCCGAUAUGAAGGUCAGAGAGCAAGAAAAGGGAGAAAAGCAAGCCAUUUUGAAGCUGAGAAAAGAGGGGAAAAUCAUUGCAUUGCACAAACAUUGGGCAUAGACAAUACAAUAAUUUGGAAUGUCCUGAAAAAGAAAGAGACCACUGGUGUACUGAGCAACAGACAUGGGACGGCCAAGGAAAACUACAGCAGGUGAUGACAGAAACAUUGUGAGCGCUGUGAAGAAAAACCCCAAAACAACAGUCAGUGACAUCACCAACAACCUCCACAGGGCAGGGGUGAAGGAAUCACAGUCCACUGUUGGAAGAAGACUUUGAGAGCAGAAAUAUAGAGGCCAUAAAACAAGAUGUAAACCACUCAUCAGCAGUAAGAAUCGGAAAGGCAGAUUGGAAUUCACACAGAAAUACAGAGAUAAUCCACAAAAGUUCUGGAACCAAGAUUAAUCUCUACCAAAGUGUGGAGAUAGAAUGGGUCUGCUAAUGAUCCCAAAAAUAUGAGCUCAUCUGUGAAACAUGAUGGAGGUAGCGUCAUGGCUUGGGCUUGCAUGGCUGCUUCUGGAACGGGUUCACUAAUAUUUAUUGAUGAUGUAACGCAUGAUUGUAGCAGCAGAAUUAAUUCAAAAGUUUACAGGCACAUUUUGUCUGCCAAUUUACAGAGAAAUGCAUCCAGGUUAAUCUGGAGGAACUUCAUCAUGCAGCAAGACAACGACCCAAAACACACUGCUAACACAACAAAGAACUUCAUCAUGGAGGAAAAGUGGAAGGUUUUAGACUGGCCAAGUCAAUCAUCAGACCUUAACCCAAUUGUGCAUGCAUUUCACCUCCUGAAGAGGAGACUGUAGGAAGAAACUCCCCAAACUCAGGUCCUGAGUUCAAAUCCCAACACUGCCAAGCAAACUGCCACUUCUUGGCCCCUGAGCAAGGCCCGUAACCCUCAACUGCCGUUCAGUUGUGUUAAAAAAUAUAUAUAAAAAAUAUAUAUAAAAGAAGAGAAAUCUGUAAGUUGCACUAGAUAAUGGUGUCUGCCAAAUGCCAUAAAUGCAAAUGUAAGAAGCUGCAGUAAAAGCCUGGAAAAGCAACACAAAAGAAGAAACCAACAAUUUUGUGCCAAUGUGUCACAGUCUUGAUGGAGUUUUUGCAAGCAAGAGAUAUGCAACCAAAUAUUAAGUGUUAUUUACUUUAAUUUACUUCAAUACUUAUCUGUUCCUAUACUUUUGCUCACCUAAAAAUUGGGUGAUCUGACACAUAAGGUUCUAUGUUUCAUGCUGUUUAGCACAUCUAGAUGUAAAUACCAGAAAAUAAAAAGCUGAAAUCCUAAACUCUCGUCUAAUAUCCAUCUUUUAAUCUCAAACCUAAAUGUCUUUGGCAUACAGUACAAACAAAUGAAUUGGCCUUGCCUUUCCAGUAGAUUCGGAGGGGAUUGUAUCUUGGUGGGGACCAAAUGUCCCCACAAGGAUAGGAAUAUUUGACAGUUUUGACCUUAUAGGGAGAUUUGGCUGGUCACAAAAGCUGCAGUUUUUAUUUCCUUUUAGUUACUGAAAUUAAGGUUUAGGUUAGGUUAAGGUGUAGCAUAGCAUUAAUUAGCCAUAUUAAUAAUUAUGUUAAUGGAAGGUCCUCACAAGGUGUGUGUGUGUGCAUGUGCGUAUGUGUGUGCCUGUGUACCAUUCUC